UGGGGGAAUAUUGCACAAUGGGCGCAAGCCUGAUGCAGCCAUGCCGCGUGUAUGAAGAAGGCCUUCGGGUUGUAAAGUACUUUCAGCGAGGAGGAAGGUGUUGUGGUUAAUAACCGCAGCAAUUGACGUUACUCGCAGAAGAAGCACCGGCUAACUCCGUGCCAGCAGCCGCGGUAAUACGGAGGGUGCAAGCGUUAAUCGGAAUUACUGGGCGUAAAAGCGCACGCAGGCGGUCUGUCAAGUCGGAUGUGAAAU
rnacentral:rRNA from 1 species